rnacentral:rRNA from 1 species
GGGCCCGCACAAGCGGUGGAUUAUGUGGUUUAAUUCGAAGCAACGCGCAGAACCUUACCCGGGCUUGAAAUCCUGAGAAUUUGGCUUAAAGGCCGAAGUGCCCUUCGGGGAAUUCAGUGACAGGCGCUGCAUGGCUGUCGUCAGCUCGUGUCGUGAGAUGUUGGGUUAAGUCUCGCAACGAGCGCAACCCCUAUCCUUAGUUGCCAGCAUUAAGUUGGGCACUCUAGGGAGACUGCCUGGGUUAACCAGGAGGAAGGUGGGGAUGACGUCAAGUCCUCAUGGCCCUUAUGUCCGGGGCUACACACGUAAUACAAUGGUGCAUACAAAGGGAAGCGACCCUGCGAAGGUGAGCAAAUCUCAAAAAGUGCAUCUCAGUCCGGAUUGGAGUCUGCAACUCGACUCCAUGAAGUUGGAAUCGCUAGUAAUCG